AAGUGAAAGUAGUGAAAAAGGGAGAAUUCUUCAAGGUUAAGAAUUCUCCAAAAUUUUCUAAACUUGUGCAAAAAGCUCCCUUAAUGUUGUGAUUCCCUUCACAUAUAUAGAUAUUGGAAGAUCUUGAAUGAAAGAACCAAAACACUCUUAAAAAGGUAGCCUUCAAUAUUGACUUUGAGGGUUUCUUCGACUGAUUGGAAUAGAGUCCAACGGGACAAACUCCUUUCUUUAUUAUUGUGUUUCUCUGGUUCUCAACCAGUUAAGGAUAAAGUUAAAUCGGUUGAGAUGUUGCCCUAUUUCUCCUUUGCUUCCAAGUUCAAUCGGUUGAGGAUCAAUCUUCGACUGUUUGGGAAUUUAUGUUUGCAUUCAACCGGUAGAAAUGUUCAAUCGGACAAGACACUCCAUCUGAUGCUUAUGCUCUUCUUCUACUGGCUGAAGAUAGAUCCUCGACCGGUUGAACAUUCUGAACUUUUACUUCUGUGUUCUUCCUACCGUAGUACCUAAAUGUUUAACUGGUAGACUUGAAGAAACCCUAAACUUAGUGCAACCAACUACCAAUCACUACUGGUUCGAUUCAUCGCCUCUUUCGACCUCCGUCAUGCUCCAUUGUACCUACAAAACAGUUAACCCCACUUGCACCAAAUAAUGAUUAAGUAGAAUAAAUAAUAUGCGUAAAUAUACUAAAGUGCAGGGGAACUAUACCGAUGAAUAGCUAUAAAAUGAAUGAAUUACUUUCACGUGAAAAGGUUAUAAAUAUAGACCACUCAUUCAGAAUUCAUAUAGCCUCACUUAAUAUAAAUAAUAAACUCACGCCCUUCUUCGCCUCUAGAUUUCAAAUUUCAUCCCAAAUAAAACAAGGAAAUAGUUCUAGAGUAGGGAGUAGGGGUAGGGGUAGGGGCAGAGGUCGGAGUCGGAGUGAUAACCACAUAAGAGCUAUAGGACCACAAUAGCGUAGGAAUCGCCUCGUUUUAUAGAAAAGGAUAUUGUUGUCUCAUACUAUGACAACAACCACUAUCAAUUGCUACCUGAACUACAUCCUAGCUUACUACCGGAACGGCUAUGACAACAACCACUAUCAAUUGCUACCUGAACUACAUCCUAGCUUACUACCGGAACGGCUAUGACAACAACCACUAUCAAUUGCUACCUGAACUAUAGCCUAGCUUACUACCGGAACGGAAGACUAUAUUUUGUAUGUCCCGAAUGACAGUACCAUCUCUACAACAAAAUCUCUAGUGAAAAUUAAAGUAUGAUAAUUAAUGUUGCUUGGAAUCU
rnacentral:lncRNA from 1 species